rnacentral:rRNA from 1 species
UACAGAGGGUGCGAGCGUUUAAUCGGAAUUACUGGGCGUAAAGCGUGCGUAGACGGUUCUGUAAGUCGGAUGUGAAAUCCCCGGGCUCAACCUGGGAAUUGCAUUCGAGACUGCAAAGCUUGGGUGCGGAAGAGGGAAGCGGAAUUUCCGGUGUAGCGGUGAAAUGCGUAGAUAUCGGAAGGAACAUCAGUGGCGAAAGCGGCUUCCUGGUCC